CGUGACUAUACUGUAGUAAUGUGUCUUUUGCAAACAAAGCGCAUACUGUGAUAUUGCUGAUGCAAUCGGAAUUGCAACAUUGUAGCACUUUGAACGCACACGAACGCAAAGUGAUUCACCGGAAACAAAUUCCUCUACCCGGCACCUAAUAAAGCAUCGCACGAUAAAUCGGCAGAACCAUGUCCAAGGCGGACAUAUUGAAGGGCAAAAUGCCCAUUACCAUGUUGCAGGAGAUGUGCUUUAAGGUGAAAAGUACCCUGCCGAUCUAUCAGUUUCUGGGCGAAGAAUGUUCACCCCACAGUGUCAAUGUGAAGCUGUUCUCCUACAUGGUGACGGCCCUGGGAAAGCAGGCUACGGGUGUCGGUAGAUCGAAGCAGGAAGCCAAACACGAAUCCGCCUGGCAACUGAUCCGGUUGGCACUGGAGCUACCGGCCGGCGAGGAAGACGAGAUGGUUGCGACCGCCGCCGAGGAGCGUGGAUCGCUGGCGGCCCUAGAGAUUGGCACCGAUCGCGUCAAUCAGGUUCGAGACAUCUGCAUUCAGCGUAAUUUCCCGUUGCCCGAAAUCGUGCAGGUGCGCAGCUACGGCCCGUCUCAUGCGCCGGUGUUCGAGUUCGAGUGCCGCAUCCGGGAGAUUGUACGACGCGGGGCGCACUCCACCAAAAAGGGAGCCAAGCAGAUAGCCUGCCAAGAGAUGAUUAAAACACUGCAAUCGAUGCCAGUUGAGGAGCACAGCAUGCAGGUGCUUUCACUCGAUCAGGCUAUUGAAGAAGCGGAGGACAACAACGAAAAUGUGAUAAGAACGUACCGCGAGUACACCCAAUCGGACAAUAAGAAAAAGCUUGGAGUUUCCAUUGCGGACAGGCAUUCGUUUUUCCUCGAGCUGCCCCAGGAACGAAUCGACGAGGCCCGCCAGCUCCUGCUGAAUGAGAAUGAAACGGUGCGCGAAAAGUGUUACAAGAUUGCAACGGCGCUCGGGCUGAAGGCUAAAAUCACGAUCGCCAACAGCAAUAUGCAAACGAUCAAGGGCAGCACCAUGAGUACCUUCGAAUUGGUAAACCCGGACUAUGACUGCUUCAUCUUCGGCGAAGGCGAAUUAUUCUACAGCAAUGUGGUUGAUUAUUUUGUUCGAAUGCUUAAUUGUAAGGUAGGUUGAGUUGAUAGCAAAAACAAAACAUUUCAAAUACCAUAAUUUAAUGAAUAUACUAUUAUAAAGCAGAUAUUAUUAUAAAAGAAAAGCUUGCUCUUCUUGAAUUCUAUUCCAUUAACAAUCUUUAUACAUAUUCGCAGUAAGAGCAUACCGACCGAGACGAGACUUGAUUGCCCGAUCCAUAGCUAUUCUAGUCGAACGCACUCCGAUGGAGAUUAAAUGCCAAAGCUGUCCAAAUUGUGCAUCAUGCGACUAACGGUCACUGUGCAGGCAAAUGGUAUUGCUCCGCUCCUGUCGAUACUCAACUCCUCUCAUGUACAGUCCUCACUCGAGAUUGAUGCGUCAGACUCCUAAGGGAGGCGAGGCAGCGAAGACUACUUGGAUGUCCCUUAUUGUGAGGCAGGGAGCGAUGCGGAGAGAUGGUAUUCUCCUAAGCACGCGUGUUGUACGCCCCUAACCACAAACCUACGUACACACUCACAUCAUCCGGUAUGAAAGUGUCUUCAAACGCUGUGCCCCUUAACCAUCGGAGUCCGCUCUCUCGUAAACAUAAACUGAGAUGGAACUAGUGAUAGUCGGAAUCCGCUUGCGAUAUUGUUGCAGUCAUUCGAAGCUGCCUGAAGCCAUCGAAGUCGUUAGUUAAACGGUUCCGAUAGUUUCAGGCUGGUCUGAACGGCUCCAGCAACUCCGACGGUUGUGACGGUACGAUUCCAAACACCUAUCACUAGACGAAACGAUAGUGUGUAACGUCCGCUGUGUUCUGAAAACAAUCUCAUGUUUGCUGACGCACUGAUGGAACCGUUGCGAUUUAUUAACAUGGACGACAUAUCGCAAAUCAUUUCCGCCGAGCUGAAGCGCAACACAAACAGCGACAAAGCUGGGGAAGGAAAGAAAAUUCCUCGCUUGAACUAAAUGUGCUUCGCA